AAAGAGGGGGACCUUCGGGCCUCUCGCGUCAGGAUAUGCCCAGGUGGGAUUAGCUAGUUGGUGAGGUAAUGGCUCACCAAGGCGACGAUCCCUAGCUGGUCUGAGAGGAUGAUCAGCCACACUGGAACUGAGACACGGUCCAGACUCCUACGGGAGGCAGCAGUGGGGAAUAUUGCACAAUGGGCGCAAGCCUGAUGCAGCCAUGCCGCGUGUAUGAAGAAGGCCUUCGGGUUGUAAAGUACUUUCAGUGGUGAGGAAGAGAGUGUGGUUAAUAGCCAUAUUCUUUGACGUUAGCCACAGAAGAAGCACCGGCUAACUCCGUGCCAGCAGCCGCGGUAAUACGGAGGGUGCGAGCGUUAAUCGGAAUUACUUGGGCGUAAAGCGCAUGCAGGUGGUUUGUUAAGUCAGAUGUGAAAGCCCGGCGGCUCAACCUCGGAGUUGCAUUUGAAACUGGCAGGCUAGAGUACUGUAGAGGGGGGUAGAAUUUCAGGUGUAGCGGUGAAAUGCGUAGAGAUCUGAAGGAAUACCGGUGGCGAAGGCGGCCCCCUGGACAGAUACUGACACUCAGAUGCGAAAGCGUGGGGAGCAAACAGGCAUUAGAUACCCUGGUAGUCCACGCUGUAAACGAUGUCUACUUGGAGGUUGUGGCCUUGAGCCGUGGCUUUCGGAGCUAACGCGUUAAGUAGACCGCCUGGGGAGUACGGUCGCAAGAUUAAAACUCAAAUGAAUUGACGGGGGCCCGCACAAGCGGUGGAGCAUGUGGUUUAAUUCGAUGCAACGCGAAGAACCUUACCUACUCUUGACAUCCAGAGAAUCCUGCGGAGACGCAGGAGUGCCUUCGGGAGCUCUGAGACAGGUGCUGCAUGGCUGUCGUCAGCUCGUGUUGUGAAAUGUUGGGUUAAGUCCCGCAACGAGCGCAACCCUUAUCCUUGUUUGCCAGCACGUAAUGGUGGGAACUCCAGGGAGACUGCCGGUGAUAAACCGGAGGAAGGUGGGGACGACGUCAAGUCAUCAUGGCCCUUACGAGUAGGGCUACACACGUGCUACAAUGGCGCAUACAGAGGGCGGCGAGCUAGCGAUAGUGAGCGAAUCCCAAAAAGUGCGUCGUAGUCCGGAUUGGAGUCUGCAACUCGACUCCAUGAAGUCGGAAUCGCUAGUAAUCGUGGAUCAGAAUGCCACGGUGAAUACGUUCCCGGGCCUUGUACACACCGCCCGUCACACCAUGGGAGUGGGC
rnacentral:rRNA from 1 species